UACGGGGGGGGCAAGCGUUGUUCGGAAUUACUGGGCGUAAAGGGCUCGUAGGCGGCCAACUAAGUCGGACGUGAAAUCCCCAAGCUCAACCUGGGAACUGCGUCCGAUACUGGAUGGCUUGAAUCCGGGAGAGGGAUGCAGAAUUCCAGGUGUAGCGGUGAAAUGCGUAGAUAUCUGGAGGAAUACCGGUGGCGAAGGCGGCAUCCUGGACCGGCAUUGACGCUGAGGAGCGAAAGCCAGGGGAGCAAACAGG
rnacentral:rRNA from 1 species